GGCUUCCGGUGGCGCGUGCGCGGCGGAGCGGAGGUGGGAGAGGUGCGUGGGGCGGCCGGGUCGCGAGGGGUCUCUUUGCGGUGCCGGGGCCCCUCUGCGGCCCGGCGUGGGAAGCCCGUGGCCGGCGGAGACUGCUCGGAGCUGGGCGGGGAGCGCCGCGGCAGUCCGGCCGCAGGCAGCCAUCCCCUGCGGUGGCCGGCAUCCCCUCGGGACUCCUGGAGGCCUGGCGGCUCCCGAUCCUCGUCUGCGGCAGCCGCCUGAGAGAGCAGCGCGGCCGUAGCCGGGGGCCGGAGAGCGCUGGUGGGUGCAGGUGGAUGAGUCGUGCAGGGCAACGGAGGAGAGCCCAGGGGAGCGCUGGAAGAAGGUGACAGCCCUGCGAUGCUGCGGUGCCUGCGAGGUGAUGUCGCCGUGCUCGUUGCUGCUUCCUGGUAAGGAAAGGCCUCCUCCGCUCCUGCUGCAGCGUGGUGGUGUGUCGGACACGAUUCCCUGUGUCGGGUGAGGCCUAGGGCUGCCGGCGAGGGUGCAGAAGAUAGCCGACUCCCCAGCUCACCAGAGCUCCCCCUCAGCCUCCCCUGGCCCCCCUUGCCCUGUGCUCCUGCCCCCAGCUCCGGCACGAGCGAGCUAGGCUACGCUACGUGCCUAGGAAGCCUCAUCUCGUAAGAGCUGU